rnacentral:rRNA from 1 species
UACGUAGGGCGCAAGCGUUAUCCGGAAUCACUGGGCGUAAAGCGCACGUAGGCGGAUUGCUAAGUCAGGGGUGAAAUCCUGGAGCUCAACUCCAGAACUGCCUUUGAUACUGGCAAUCUCGAGUCCGGGAGAGGUGAGUGGAACUGCGAGUGUAGAGGUGAAAUUCGUAGAUAUUCGCAAGAACACCAGUGGCGAAGGCGGCUGACUGGUCCGGUUCUGACGCUGAGGCGCGAAAGCGUGGGGAGCAAACAGG